GACGAACGCUGGCGGCGCGCUUAACACAUGCAAGUCGAACGGAUAGGCCUGCUUUCCCUUGUGGAUUGCGGGUACUCGAGUGGCGAACGGGUGAGUAACACGUGAGUGAUCUGCCCCCAACUUGGGUAUAAGCCUGGGAAACUGGGUCUAAUUCCCGAUAGGACUGCAGGGUGGUGCCUGUGGUGGAAAACGAUUUUCUAGUGGUUGGGGAUGAGCUCGCGGCCUAUCAGCUUGUUGGUGGGGUAAUGGCCUACCAAGGCGGCGACGGGUAGCCGGCCUGAGAGGGUGGACGGCCACAUUGGGACUGAGAUACGGCCCAGACUCCUACGGGAGGCAGCAGUGGGGAAUAUUGCACAAUGGGCGGAAGCCUGAUGCAGCGACGCCGCGUGGGGGAUGACGGCCUUCGGGUUGUAAACUCCUUUCGACCGCGAGGAAGCCACCUGGUUGGAAGGGUGGUGACGGUAGUGGUAGAAGAAGCACCGGCUAACUACGUG
rnacentral:rRNA from 1 species